GAUGAACGCUGGCGGCGUGCCUAAUACAUGCAAGUCGAGCGAACAGACGAGGAGCUUGCUCCUCUGACGUUAGCGGCGGACGGGUGAGUAACACGUGGAUAACCUACCUAUAAGACUGGGAUAACUUCGGGAAACCGGAGCUAAUACCGGAUAAUAUAUUGAACCGCAUGGUUCAAUAGUGAAAGACGGUUUUGCUGUCACUUAUAGAUGGGUCCGCGCCGCAUUAGCUAGUUGGUAAGGUAACGGCUUACCAAGGCAACGAUGCGUAGCCGACCCGAGAGGGUGAUCGGCCACACUGGAACUGAGACACGGUCCAGACUCCUACGGGAGGCAGCAGUAGGGAAUCUUCCGCAAUGGGCGAAAGCCUGACGGAGCAACGCCGCGUGAGUGAUGAAGGUCUUCGGAUCGUAAAACUCUGUUAUUAGGGAAGAACAAAUGUGUAAGUAACUAUGCACGUCUUGACGGUACCUAAUCAGAAAGCCACGGCUAACUACGUG
rnacentral:rRNA from 1 species